UCCGGUUUGACACCGGCAGUCUCCCUAGAGUGCCCGGCAUGACCCGCUGGUAACUAGGGACAAGGGUUGCGCUCGCUGCGGGACUUAACCCAACAUCUCACGACACGAGCUGACGACAGCCAUGCAGCACCUGUGUCGGCUCCUCUUGCGAGGUCGGUCCCCUUUCGGUUUCCUACUACCGACAUGUCAAACCCAGGUAAGGUUUUUCGCGUUGCGUCGAAUUGAACCACAUAAUCCACCGCUUGUGCGGGUCCCCGUCAAUUCCUUUGAGUUUUAACCUUGCGGCCGUACUCCCCAGGCGGUCAACUUCACGCGUUAGCUUCGUUACCAAGGAAUUGCUUCCCCGACAACCAGUUGACAUAGUUUAGGGCGUGGACUAC
rnacentral:misc_RNA from 1 species